AGGAAAGUAGGGGAUCGCAAGACCUUGCGCUUUUGGAGCGGCCGAUGUCUGAUUAGCUAGUUGGUGAGGUAAGGCUUACCAAGGCGUCGAUCAGUAGCUGGUCUGAGAGGACGACCAGCCACACUGGGACUGAGACACGGCCCAGACUCCUACGGGAGGCAGCAGUGGGGAAUUUUGGACAAUGGGGGAAACCCUGAUCCAGCCAUGCCGCGUGAGUGAAGAAGGCCUUCGGGUUGUAAAGCUCUUUCAGCCGGAACGAAACGGUCACAGCUAAUACCUGUGACUACUGACGGUACCGGAAGAAGAAGCACCGGCUAACUACGUGCCAGCAGCCGCGGUAAUACGUAGGGUGCGAGCGUUAAUCGGAAUUACUGGGCGUAAAGCGUGCGCAGGCGGUUUUGUAAGUCAGAUGUGAAAUCCCCGGGCUUAACCUGGGAACUGCGUUUGAAACUACAAAGCU
rnacentral:rRNA from 1 species